rnacentral:tRNA from 1 species
GGUCUCAUGGUGUAAUGGUUAGCACUCUGGACUUUGAAUCCAGUGAUCCGAGUUCGAGUCUCGGUGAGACCU